UUUUAUAUUGUAGAUAACAAGUACAUACCACGAUUCAUUUGGUGUUUUUAACUGCCAAUAUUUUGACUCAGUUUCACACCAAAUU